GGGUUGUGAGGUUAAGCGACUAAGCGUACACGGUGGAUGCCCUGGCAGUCAGAGGCGAUGAAGGACGUGCUAAUCUGCGAUAAGCGCCGGUAAGGUGAUAUGAACCGUUAUAACCGGCGAUUUCCGAAUGGGGAAACCCAGUGUGAUUCGUCACACUAUCAUUAACUGAAUCCAUAGGUUAAUGAGGCGAACCGGGGGAACUGAAACAUCUAAGUACCCCGAGGAAAAGAAAUCAACCGAGAUUCCCUCAGUAGCGGCGAGCGAACGGGGAGGAGCCCAGAGCCUGAAUCAGCAUGUGUGUUAGUGGAAGCGUCUGGAAAGGCGCGCGAUACAGGGUGACAGCCCCGUACACAAAAGCGCAUGUGCUGUGAGCUCGAUGAGUAGGGCGGGACACGUGGUAUCCUGUCUGAAUAUGGGGGGACCAUCCUCCAAGGCUAAAUACUCCUGACUGACCGAUAGUGAACCAGUACCGUGAGGGAAAGGCGAAAAGAACCCCGGCGAGGGGAGUGAAAAAGAACCUGAAACCGUGUACGUACAAGCAGUGGGAGCCCCACCACUAAGCCAGUGGUGAACUCCACAUACGCAUCCUUUGCUGAGAAUACGGUUAACGGAGCGAAAGCGACGUUCAACCUCAAAAGAAGCAGAGGGGGCUUAGUGGUGGGGUGACUGCGUACCUUUUGUAUAAUGGGUCAGCGACUUAUAUUCUGUAGCAAGGUUAACCGAAUAGGGGAGCCG
rnacentral:rRNA from 1 species